UACGGAGGGGGCUAGCGUUGUUCGGAAUUACUGGGCGUAAAGCGUGCGUAGUCGGUUAUUUAAGUCGGGUGUGAAAGCCCCGGGCUCAACCUGGGAAUUGCAUUCGAUACUGGAUAGCUAGAGUUCGGCAGAGGGAAGCGGAAUUUCCGGUGUAGCGGUGAAAUGCGUAGAUAUCGGAAGGAACAUCAGUGGCGAAAGCGGCUUCCUGGACCAGAACUGACGAUCAGGCUCGAAAGCAUGGGGAGCAAACAGG
rnacentral:rRNA from 1 species